rnacentral:rRNA from 1 species
UAGUAACGGCGAGUGAAGCGGGAACAGCUCAAAUUUGAAAUCUGGCCCUCGGGUCCGAGUUGUAAUUUGUAGAGGAUGCUUUUGGUGCGGUGCCUUCCGAGUUCCCUGGAACGGGACGCCUUAGAGGGUGAGAGCCCCGUACGGUUGGACGCCUAGCCUCUGUAAAGCUCCUUCGACGAGUCGAGUAGUUUGGGAAUGCUGCUCUAAAUGGGAGGUAUAUUUCUUCUAAAGCUAAAUACUGGCCAGAGACCGAUAGCGCACAAGUAGAGUGAUCGAAAGAUGAAAAGCACUUUGAAAAGAGGGUUAAAUAGCACGUGAAAUUGUUGAAAGGGAAGCGUUUAUCACCAGACUUUUUCUGGGGGGAUCAUCCGGUGUUCUCACCGGUGCACUUCCCCCAGUUGAGGCCAGCAUCGGUUUUCGGAGGGGGAUAAAAGCUUCGGGAAUGUGACUCCCUCGGGAGUGUUAUAGCCCGUUGCAUAAUACCCUUCUGGGGACCGAGGUUCGCGCAUCUGCAAGGAUGCUGGCAUAAUGGUGAUCAACGACCCGUCUUGAAACACGGACCAAGGAGUCGAACAUUUAUGCGAGUGU